rnacentral:rRNA from 1 species
GACGAACGCUGGCGGCGUGCUUAACACAUGCAAGUCGAACGAUGAAGCCCAGCUUGCUGGGUGGAUUAGUGGCGAACGGGUGAGUAACACGUGGGCAACCUGCCCCAAACUCUGGGAUAACUCCUCGAAAGAGGUGCUAAUACCGGAUACGAACUAGACAGACAUCUGUACUAGUUGGAAAGUUUGGCGGUUUGGGAUGGGCCCGCGGCCUAUCAGCUUGUUGGUGAGGUAACGGCUCACCAAGGCUACGACGGGUAACCGGCCUGAGAGGGCGACCGGUCAGACGAGGACUGGGACACGGCCCAUGCUCCUACGGGGGGCAGCAGUGGGGGAUAUUGCGCAAUGGGCGAAAGCCUGACGCAGCGACGCCGCGUGAGGGAUGAAGGUCUUCGGAUCGUAAACCUCUUUCAGUAGGGACGAAGCGAAAGUGACGGUACCUAAAGAAGAAGCACCGGCUAACUACGUGCCAGCAGCCGCGGUAA